GUUUCUGAAAUAUGUAUUUUAUCUGGAUUGCAGACAGCAAUAUUUAUUGAAAAAGGUCGUGGAAAUCAAACCCAAACGGAAGAGAACUUCUAGUCCAUCUGAUGGGAAUCAGUCAACUCCUGCUUCAAAUGAUUCUGCUUUAAAAAGCCUUAAGUCUGAGUCUCACCAGGAGAAAGAGCAGCCUGAGACUGACCGGGAGGAGAAAGAGUGGCCUCUGUCAAGAUUGAAUAAAGCAGAGGGAGAUACUAAUACGGAAAACCCUGUUAAAAGUUUACUAGGCGUAGCAUAUGCAAGUUCUGAGGAUGAUGAGGACUGAAGAAUGCAUUGAUACCUGUGGACUAAUUGAGUGAAUUCUAUGUUGGUCAAAGUGAAGUCAGGAUACAUAUUUAACCUUCAAUUUGAUGUGCCUGCUAUUCUCUUUGAUAUCCCCUAUACUCUUUGAUUCAGUAUCUAGAUCCUUCAGUGCAUCAUAAAGCUCCUGAUGAUUUUGUUAAUGGCCUCAAAGCUCUGGAUUCUGCAGCCCAGAAAACUUGUUGAGGGCUAUUGUGUGGUUUUGCCCAUCUGGCACCUGCUUGUAGCUCCUAUUCUCGUAGUUACUCUCUCCAUGUGAGGUGCUUCAACCAUUUCGUUGUGUUCAGUAUAUCAUCUUACAUUUUCUCAUCCCCUUUGAUUUUUCUUUUCCUGGUUUGUAAAUCUAUAAGGUAUUCUGAAUAUCGUACUGUCCUUUUGUGUGUGUGUGUAUAUAUAGAGGGGAAGAUAUGCAUUAUUGUUUUUGAAGCUCAAAUGAUAAUGGAAAAUUGAAGUUA